rnacentral:rRNA from 1 species
UACGUAGGUGGCAAGCGUUGUCCGGAAUUAUUGGGCGUAAAGCGCGCGCAGGCGGUCCUUUAAGUCUGAUGUGAAAGCCCACGGCUCAACCGUGGAGGGUCAUUGGAAACUGGGGGACUUGAGUGCAGAAGAGGAAAGCGGAAUUCCACGUGUAGCGGUGAAAUGCGUAGAGAUGUGGAGGAACACCAGUGGCGAAGGCGGCUUUCUGGUCUGUAACUGACGCUGAGGCGCGAAAGCGUGGGGAGCAAACAGGAUGCGAAAACCGAGUCC